rnacentral:rRNA from 1 species
AUCUUCCAAUAGGGAGGAAAAGAAACCAACCGGGAUUGCCUUAGUAACGGCGAGUGAAGCGGCAAAAGCUCAAAUUUGAAAUCUGGUACCUUCGGUGCCCGAGUUGUAAUUUGUAGAAGGUAACUUUGGGGCUGGUCCUUGUCUAUGUUCCUUGGAACAGGACGUCAUAGAGGGUGAGAAUCCCGUGUGGCGAGGAUCCCAGUUCUUUGUAAAGUGCUUUCGAAGAGUCGAGUUGUUUGGGAAUGCAGCUCUAAGUGGGUGGUAAAUUCCAUCUAAAGCUAAAUAUUGGCGAGAGACCGAUAGCGAACAAGUACAGUGAUGGAAAGAUGAAAAGAACUUUGAAAAGAGAGUGAAAAAGUACGUGAAAUUGUUGAAAGGGAAGGGCAUUUGAUCAGACAUGGUGUUUUGCGCCCUCUGCUCCUUGUGGGUGGGGGAAUCUCGCAGCUCACUGGGCCAGCAUCAGUUUUGGCGGCAGGAUAAAUCUGCAGGAAUGUAGCUUGCCUCGGUAAGUGUUAUAUCCUGUAGAAAUACUGCCAGCUGGGACUGAGGACUGCGACUUUACGUCAAGGAUGCUGGCAUAAUGGUUAUAUGCCGCCCGUCUUAAACACCCGGGA